UCGAUUCUUGCACAAUUUUGAGUUUGGCAAGCAUAGGCCUCCAACACUUGUGUCAACAUUGCAGCAGGACGUGUUUGAGAUCUUAAACCCUGUUCAGAAUCAAUGAGAACUCAGUCAUUUUUCAUAUUUUGUUGACGCAAUGAGUGUUUACCAUAAGCAGUAGGGUUGUGGAUCAAAUCCCAGACUGCACUGUAAGUAUCAGCAAAUGCUAGCUUAGCACCAUAAAGGUUUCGAUUGAGAGCAUCUAACAGCUUUUGCACCCUUGAGUUGAACUGGAUCACCCAUUCAUUCACCUGCUUUAAACAUUGCCCCCGUUUUGAUUUCACCCGUUGGGAAGGUAUGCACCCGAGGGGACCAAGCCCGUGGAAGACCAUCUUUCUUGCACCAAGUUGAUGGAGUCUCUUCACAACACAUGUUUAAAUUCAGUGACAUUGUAUUAUAUCACCAAUUGUCCUGCCAUUAGUGAAUCUUCCCGUAGCCAUUCCACCUUUAUAAUCGAUUCCAUAAUAUGGGAAGUUGGAUUUGGCAAGAGACAGCUGCAGGUAAUUGUUGUUUCCUACUUCUGUCAAGGAAUCACCAAAAAUAUAUGUGACUAUCGAUGGCCCUGAAGAAACAGCCACCACGUAGGUGACAAGAAAGAUCGCGAUAACUUGUUGAGAAGCUGUCAUUCUGCUCUUGUUGUUUAGUUUGGAAAAACAGGAUGAUUUAUAGUUGAUGGAAAUACUGUGGAAUGUGGUCUUAGUCAAGUCCAGUUGUUCAGGUUUGUUCAUAUCAGUGCUUAUGCUCAUAUUGUGGACCAAAAUGUUGAAAAUAAGGAGUUUCUCAGAGAUUCUAAGUCACAUUUUUAGUUGGUUAAUUAAACUUAAAAUAACACAAUUAAGUUGGUGGUUUUUGUCUAGUUGUUGCCCAACUUAAUAAAUUGAAGUCAGCAAGUAAGUGUUUUUGUUGCCAUUUUUCUUGUUUCGGCAAGAAUUUCUUUGCAGGCCUCACAAACUUGAUUUUGCUUCUUUUUUUGUUGGGAUUCUCAUCCUCCAUAGGAACAUUUUUCAUCAA